UUUUUUUUUUUUUCUUUUUGUCUUUUUAGGGCCGCAUCUGCAGCACAUGGAAGUUCCCUAGCUAGGGGCUGAAUCGGAGUUGCAGCCACCGGCCUACACCACAGCCACAGCCAUGCGAGAUCCUAGCCACAUCUGUGAACUACACCACAGCUCACAGCAAUGCUGGAUCCUUAACUCACUGGGCAAGGCCAGGGAUCCAAUCCGCAUCCUCAAGGAUACUAGUCAGGUUCAUUUCCACUGAGCCACGACAGGAACUCUGACAAGUAGUUGAUUCUUGAACAACAGAGGUUUGAACUCUGUGGGCCCACUGUUUACACAAGCUUUUCAAUAAAUACAUACUAUAGUAUUACAUGAUCCACAGUUAGCUGAAUCCACAGAUGUGGAACCUUGGAUACAGAAGGCCAAUUCUAAAGUUAUACGCAGAUUUUCGACUACCCCAGACCCUUGAGUUGUUCAAGGCUCAGCUGUACAUUCGCAAUGUUGUACAAUCCACUCCUAAGGACUAACUAGUUCUAGAACUUCUCCAUCUCCUCAAAGGAAAAUCCAUAUCCAUUAAGCAGUCACUCCUCAUUCCUCUAUCCCUGACAGCCACUAAUUUGCUUUCUGUCUAUGAAUUUGGCUAUUUUGGAUAUUUCAUAUAAAUAGAAUCAUAUACCUUGUGAGCUACUGUAUCUGAUUUUUUUUUUCAUUUAGCAUAAUGUUUUCAAAGUUCUUCCAUGCUGUACCAGGUAUCAGUACCUCAUUCCUUUUUAUGACUGAAUAAUAUUCCAUUGCAUACACACACACACACACACACACAUUUUGUUUAUUUAUUCAUCUUUUGAUGGGCAUUUGGGUUGUUUCUCCUUUUGGCUAUGGUGAACAUUGUUGAUAUGGAUAAUUAAGCACACAGUUUUUGUUUAAACACCUGUUUUCAAUUAUCUUGCAUGUAUACUCAGGAUCAUAUGGUAAUUUUUUUUUAACUUUCUGAGGAACCACCAAACUGUGGCAGCAUCAUUUUACAUUCCCACCAGCAAUGUACAAGGGUUUUAAUUUCUCAAUUUCUAUAUCCUCAAAUAAAGAACCGUUAUUUUCUACUUCAUUGAUUAUAGUUACCUAGUAGGUAUAGAGUGAUAUUAUAUUGUGGUUUUAAUUUACAUUUCCGUAAUGAUUAAUGAUGUUGAGCAUCUUCUCACAUGCUUAUUGGCUUUCUUUGGAGAAAUGCCUAUUUAAAUCCUUUGCUCAUUUUAAAACUGGGCUAUCUUUUUAUUGUUAAAUUGUAAAUUCUUUGAUAUAUUCUCAAUACUAGCUCCUUAUCAGGUAUAUAAUUUGCAAAUGUCAUCUUCCAUUGUAUAGGUUGUCUUUCAUUUUCUUGCUAGUGUCUUUUGAAACAAAAGGGUUUCAAUUUUGAUUAAGUCUUAUUUAUUUUUCUUUUGUUACCUAUUUCUUUGAUACCAUAUUUAACUGUGGUGCUUCUUUUGAUAGCUACAAUACGUCAAUAUUGGCUUUAAUUUUUAUUAUAUUAAUCACUAUCAUUUGUCAAAUUGCUACCAUAUGCCUGGUAUUUCAUUUCCUUUGUGUGUGCUCUUUCAUUUUUCUCUUUCCCUCUCUCUCUCUUUCUGACCUAGUUGGUGUUGGGCCAUUUUCUAGAGAAAAAAAAAAAAAGUUCAAAAAGGAAAUUUUCUCUAAGUCAUUCAGUAGGAUAUGAUAGAAGGAGGAAUCAAAUCCAGCUUUGUCUAAUUGUACAGACCAUACUCUUUUUCUACUGUACUACGUUUCAUUAUUGAAUAGCAUAACAUAAAGUUUUUGACUUUGGCAACAAAAGAGGAAAUGUAUGUUGUAUUGGUUUUCUAUUGCUUCUAUAAUAAAUUGCCACAAAUUUAGUGGCUUAAGAAACACAAAUUUAUUAUCUUAUAGUUCUACAGGUCAGAAGUACAAUAUGGGUUUCUACCAGCUAAAAUCAAGGUGUUGGCAGGGCUGCAUUCCUUUCUGGAGGUUCCAGGGGAGGAUUUGUUUCCUUGCCCAUUUGGUGGGUUGACAGAAUUCAGUUCCUUGUGGUUAUAGGACUGAGAGCCCCAUUUCCUUUGAUUAAGAUGGGGACAUCUUUGGGAGAACAGGGCAUUUAUUCUCUCUCUCUCUCACACACAUACACACAGCUAUAUUUUUCCCUUAGCUAGGUAGAAUACAUAGAGUAAGAAGAACAGAGGACUGACAGAACUCAUAGAAGAGAAGACUGAUAGAACCCUUGAAGUAUGAUAUCAAGGGAGAGGCAGAGGAAAAGAAACCCCCUACUCCUGCCCCCUGAAAAAAAGAGCCUGAGAAGAAGCAAUCAGAGAGGUAGAUUCAAAGGUAGACUAAUCUUAAAGAUUCUUGUGUGAAGUUGUGCCUGUUCAUAACUUACUGAUUUCCUCUUUUAACUUGGAAACAAUUUUCUCCAAGCACUCCUGCCCCUUCUUUUACCUCCUAAUCCAGUCAUUGUUGAUGGUGCUGAUUCUUGGGCAGUGACCAGACAAAUUUCAAUUUUGCACAUAAUAUCCUGAAAUAUCUCAGAACACUGAGCCAAUGAAUUGCUAAAUUGGCUGAACAUUCAGAGACCUCUUUUCCAGGAACAUCUUGCUCCAGGCAAUAGAAUAAUAGAUCAUGCUAGAACUCCCUAAAGCAAGGUAGCUGUGGAAAGCUGCAAUACCUUGAUGGCAGAUUCCACUGCUGGCAAGCAAGAUACUGACCUCGGGUUUUCAAAAGGAGAGACCAAGCAGGGAAUCUGCUGGUGUCAAUAUAUUAUUUUUUCCCCCCAACUGAGUCCAUAAGUUCUAUGAGAUAUAGACUUGUGUAUUGAUAAGUAUUAAUUUCACAAAAAUAUUUCAGUGGAUUCGGUGUUAUAAGCUGAGGAUCUAAGGAGCCUCAGUGAUAGGGAAGUCAGAGAGGUUUCCAUCAAAUACACCAAUAUUUUCUAAAACUGAAAUACAGGAAUAUAGAAAUUCUAAGCAAGUAUAUAUGAGAAGUAAAGAAAGAAGUGAUCUUGAGGAGGGUAAGUCCAAAGCUAGUAAGGAUGAUUUGAAAUCACAGGACACAAGAGAUCAAAGGAAACAUGAAGAUUAACCCAAUCUUUUCAUUUUACAUUGGGGAAAUUAAAAUACAAGGAAGGGACUUUUCCAAAAUAACCUAGUUGCUGGCAAUAUCACUGGUCUCCUGACUUCGCCUUCAAUGUUCUACCUCCUGGGAUGGUCCAUAGCUGACGGCUCUACUACCAGUUGCUAAAUGGAUUAUUUUCUCUCAGCUACUUUAUUCCGGGGCCUCAGUGAGGUGGAUAAAAAUGUGAGUGAAACACUGCCACUCACAUUGCUUUAAACACUGUAAGCAAUUCUAGCCCGCUCUACUGGAAACUCAGUUCUAUCAUCUCUGAGCUUAAAGAAUGUCUUUUCCAAUGUACUAGGGGAUGGCUUAUGAAAACCAAUGAACUCUAGUUCUCUCCCAGGGGCCAUCAUACCUAGAAAACCAGAAGACAGUUCACAACUCAAAACUCAACAGCUCUGCAUAAGAGAUUUACCACUGGAUUCUGGGGAGCGAAAAUAGGAAAGAGAAAGUAGGAAAAGAGGUUAAUGGUUUCACCUCUGCCACAUCUGACUUUUUGCCAAGAUUUUUUUUUUUUUUGGUUCCAUCACCUUAUAAAGAGCAGGAGCCACAAUAAAGAAAUCCCUGAAACCUAUGCUUCCUAGCACAUUACAGAGUAAAACUAAAAUAAAACCACAGCUAUUUUCUUCUGUUCCAGAUUGAG
rnacentral:lncRNA from 1 species